AUUGAACGCUGGCGGCAUGCCUUACACAUGCAAGUCGAACGGUAACGGGUCCUUCGGGAUGCCGACGAGUGGCGAACGGGUGAGUAAUAUAUCGGAACGUGCCCAGUAGUGGGGGAUAACUGCUCGAAAGAGCAGCUAAUACCGCAUACGACCUGAGGGUGAAAGGGGGGGAUCGCAAGACCUCUCGCUAUUGGAGCGGCCGAUAUCAGAUUAGCUAGUUGGUGGGGUAAAGGCCUACCAAGGCAACGAUCUGUAGUUGGUCUGAGAGGACGACCAGCCACACUGGGACUGAGACACGGCCCAGACUCCUACGGGAGGCAGCAGUGGGGAAUUUUGGACAAUGGGCGCAAGCCUGAUCCAGCAAUGCCGCGUGCAGGAAGAAGGCCUUCGGGUCGUAAACUGCUUUUGUCAGGGAAGAAAUCUUCUGGGCUAAUACCCCGGGAGGAUGACGGUACCUGAAGAAUAAGCACCGGCUAACUACGUGCCAGCAGCCGCGGUAAUACGUAGGGUGCGAGCGUUAAUCGGAAUUACUGGGCGUAAAGCGUGCGCAGGCGGCUUUGCAAGACAGAUGUGAAAUCCCCGGGCUCAACCUGGGAACUGCAUUUGUGACUGCAAGGCUAGAGUACGGCAGAGGGGGAUGGAAUUCCGCGUGUAGCAGUGAAAUGCGUAGAUAUGCGGAGGAACACCAAUGGCGAAGGCAAUCCCCUGGGCCUGUACUGACGCUCAUGCACGAAAGCGUGGGGAGCAAACAGGAUUAGAUACCCUGGUAGUCCACGCCCUAAACGAUGUCAACUGGUUGUUGGACGGCUUGCUGUUCAGUAACGAGGCUAACGCGUGAAGUUGACCGCCUGGGGAGUACGGCCGCAAGGUUGAAACUCGAAGGAAUUGACGGGGACCCGCACAAGCGGUGGAUGAUGUGGUUUAAUUCGAUGCAACGCGAAAAACCUUACCUACCCUUGACAUGUCAAGAAUUCUGCAGAGAUGUGGAAGUGCUCGAAAGAGAACUUGAACACAGGUGCUGCAUGGCCGUAGUCAGCUCGUGUCGUGAGAUGUUGGGUUAAGUCCCGCAACGAGCGCAACCCUUGUCAUUAGUUGCUACGCAAGAGCACUCUAAUGAGACUGCCGGUGACAAACCGGAGGAAGGUGGGGAUGACGUCAGGUCCUCAUGGCCCUUAUGGGUAGGGCUACACACGUCAUACAAUGGCCGGUACAGAGGGCUGCCAACCCGCGAGGGGGAGCCAAUCCCAGAAAACCGGUCGUAGUCCGGAUCGUAGUCUGCAACUCGACUGCGUGAAGUCGGAAUCGCUAGUAAUCGCGGAUCAGCUUGCCGCGGUGAAUACGUUCCCGGGUCU
rnacentral:rRNA from 1 species